UACAGAGGUCCCAAGCGUUGUCCGGAGUUACUGGGCGUAAAGCGCGCGCAGGCGGUCUGCUAAGUUUGGAGUGACAGUUGGUGGCUUAACUGCCAAAGUGCAUCGAAAACUGACAGACUUGAGGGCUUCAGAGGGACACGGAAUUCCGGGUGGAGUGGUGAAAUGCGUAGAGAUCCGGAGGAACACCAAAGGCGAAGGCAGUGUCCUGGGGAGUACCUGACGCUCAGGUGCGAAAGCCAGGGGAGCGAACGGG
rnacentral:rRNA from 1 species